GACGUAGGGCGCGAGCGUUGUCCGGAUUUAUUGGGCGUAAAGAGCGUGUAGGCGGCUUGGUAGGUCCGCUGUGAAAACUCGAGGCUCAACCUCGAGAUGUCGGCGGAAACCACUUGGCUAGAGUCCGGAAGAGGAGAGUGGAAUCCUGGUGUAGCGGUGAAAUGCGCAGAUAUCAGGAAGAACACCCGUGGCGAAGGCAGCUCGCUGGGACGGUACUGACGCUGAGGCGCGAAAGCGUGGGGAGCGAACAGG
rnacentral:rRNA from 1 species